rnacentral:rRNA from 1 species
CGGGGUGCACCAGGCGCGAAAACUUUACAAUGCCGGCAACGGCGAUAAGGGAACCUCGAGUGCCAGGUUACAAAUCUGGCUGUCGUGAUGCCUAAAAAGCAUUGCAUAGCAAGGGCCGGGCAAGACCGGUGCCAGCCGCCGCGGUAACACCGGCGGCUCGAGUGGUAACCGUUAUUAUUGGGUCUAAAGGGUCUGUAGCCGGCCGGGUAAGUCUCUUGGGAAAUCUGGCAGCUUAACUGUCAGGCUUUCAGGAGAUACUGCCUGGCUCGAGGCCGGGAGAGGUGAGAGGUACUUCAGGGGUAGGGGUGAAAUCUUGUAAUCCUUGAAGGACCACCAGUGGCGAAGGCGUCUCACCAGAACGGACCUGACGGCAAGGGACGAAAGCUAGGGGCACGAACCGGAUUAGAUACCCGGGUAGUCCUAGCCGUAAACGAUACUCGCUAGGUGUCGGCCACGGUGCGACCGUGGUCGGUGCCGUAGGGAAGCCGUGAAGCGAGCCACCUGGGAAGUACGGCCGCAAGGCGUGAAACUUAAAGGAAUUGGC